AUGAGGUGCCCUGCUCAGCUCCUGGGGCUGAUGAUGCUCUGGAUCCCUGGAUCCAUUGGUGAUGUCGUGAUGACCCAGACUCCACUGUCCCUGUCUGUCACAGCAGGAGAGCCCGCCUCCAUCUCCUGCAGGUCGAGUCAGAGUCUCCUACAUAGUAAUGGAAACACAUAUCUACAAUGGUACCUGCAGAGGCCAGGCCAGUCUCCAAGGCUCCUGAUAUAUAAGGUUUCCAACCGUGAAUCUGGGGUCCCAGAAAGGUUCAUUGGCAGUGGGUCAGGGACAGAUUUCACACUCAAAAUCAGCAGAGUAGAGCCUGAGGACUUGGGUGUUUAUUACUGUGGUCAAGGUACACAUCUUCCUCCCACAGUGGUACAGCCCUGA